rnacentral:siRNA from 1 species
CUUGCCAUGUUUAUAGAGACUG